rnacentral:rRNA from 1 species
GAUGAACGCUAGCUACAGGCUUAACACAUGCAAGUCGAGGGACCGGAGCACGGGUGAGUAACACGUAUCCAACCUGCCCUUUACUCGGGGAUAGCCUUUCGAAAGAAAGAUUAAUACCCGAUAUAAAGGAUGGGGAUGCGUACCAUUAGGUUGUUGGUGAGGUACCGGCUAACCAAGCCUUCGAUGGGUAUGGGUUCUGAGAGGAAGGACCCGCACAUUGGAACUGGGACAAGAUCCAAACUGGUACGGGAGGCAGCAGUGAGGAAUAUUGGGCAAUGGGCGCGAGCCUGAAACAGCCAAGUAGCGUGAAGGAUGAAGGCUUAUGGGUCGUAGACUUCUUUUAUAUAAGAAUAGGUAUUAUAUGAAUAAGGAUCGGCUAACUCCGUGCCAGCAGCCGCGGUAAUAC